ACCCGCCAGCCCCGCGCUCUACCAGGCAGAGCGCGUGUGGCCGCCGAGCACAUGGACCCACUGGUCAAGCGGGCUCGGCAAGGCCAGGAUGAAGAGAAGCUACGAACUUAGCAUUCCCAGAGCCCCCCGAGUGGAUAUCCGCGUGGAAAGGAUGUUGGCAGCCCCGGUGACCUCGGAGUCACGGCUGGAUCCACCCUCUUGUCUGAUUUUCUUAACUCUACUACGGUAAGAAGAUGCCCUCCAUCAGCAGGCCGUGUCUGCUGGGACCUCUCUGGAGACUUCCUGAACCCUGUGGAUUUACAGUAAGAUGCAGUUUCCUGGGGAGUAAUUCUGGUGGAUACAAAUUCCGGAGUAUUACACCUGGCUUGCCUGGAGAUGUUACAAGUAGCUGGAUGGAUUCUUCAGCCUGGAUGCCCACUGAAAACAAGGACCGAAACUAAGAGGAUUGUAUCUCUACCCUUGACUCAAUGAGAAUGUUUGUUGUCAUCUCUCGGGCUACCUGGAGCUCCCUCUAAAAUAGAGCCGAGUUCUGUCACCACAGACAUUGGCAGUGGCACUUGCAUGCCCCUGGCAAGCAGUCUAUCCUGAGGUGGAGGAAGUUGCCCUUGAGUUCUGGCUGGUAACCAGCACAGGGGCUGGGACACUGCCUGAUUGAGGUGGCCAUUGAGAAUUCAAGUGUACCUCUUGGUCCCUGAUGCAGAAAUGAAGUCCCCAGCAUGCUCAAGAAGAGCUUCCUUGGAGGAUGAGAGGCAUGGGAAUCUAAGUAUACCCUUUAAGCGUUCCAGAAGGAUUUUGAGAUCCUUUCCUAAAUCAAAGGUGGAAUAUUUGGGGAUUUGGAAAAUUGAGAUGUGAAGCGUUGACUUAAGAGAUGCCAAGUAACUCAGCAGAUGUCACACAGACGAUAAAUAGCAAAGAUGGAAGUCUUCAUGCCGGAGGCAAUCCUAUAAGACAGCUGAGUUCUGCAGAGCUGGAGACAGACUUGCUCAGGUGAUAGAUCCAGCCAUGAUACUGACCCUAAGAGAAUGAGACGCUCUGCAGAAGACAGAAGAUUCCUGAAACUGGGAAAGGUGCCUAGAAAUCCUGAUAAGAGUGAAGAAGGGUACCUGGAGGCACAGCAGCCAUGUUGAACCUAUGAGGUGAUGAAAAACCAUGCAACUAGAAACCAGAAUGGAAGAAAAGAAGAAGCUGGAUCCUUGACUGAAUUGUCGAUGGGGGAUAGUCCAUCAUCCCAGGGCUAAGACCACCUCCAGAUUUCUUGUUUGGUGAAACAAGUCCUGAUUGUUUACAUUCCCUCGUGUUGAGCUGUCUCUUGCUUGUAGCUGAAAGCAUUUCUAAUAGAUAUUCAGAUUAUCAGCCUUAGCUCCAAGCUAGAAUACUCUAUGGGACCUUAGCUUCUCCAUGAAUUCCUUUGCUCAUCUGUGUAAUGCUCAAUAAAUGUAAAUUGAACCCUGAAUGAGGGACAAUGAC
rnacentral:lncRNA from 1 species